AUUGAACGCUGGCGGCAUGCCUUACACAUGCAAGUCGAACGGUAACAGGUUAAGCUGACGAGUGGCGAACGGGUGAGUAAUGUAUCGGAACGUGCCCAGUCGUGGGGGAUAACUACUCGAAAGAGUGGCUAAUACCGCAUACGACCUGAGGGUGAAAGCGGGGGAGCGUAAGGCCGAGCGCGAUUGGAGCGGCCGAUAUCGGAUUAGCUAGUUGGUGGGGUAAAAGCCCACCAAGGCGACGAUCUGUAGCUGGUCUGAGAGGACGACCAGCCACACUGGGACUGAGACACGGCCCAGACUCCUACGGGAGGCAGCAGUGGGGAAUUUUGGACAAUGGACGCAAGUCUGAUCCAGCCAUGCCGCGUGCGGGAAGAAGGCCUUCGGGUUGUAAACCGCUUUUGUCAGGGAAGAAACGAGUUUCUCUAAUACAGAGACUUAAUGACGGUACCUGAAGAAUAAGCACCGGCUAACUACGUGCCAGCCGCCGCAGUAACAC
rnacentral:rRNA from 1 species